GUGGUGGCUCAGUGAUUAAGGCUUUUGGCUACUAAUCAGAAGGUUGUGAGAUUAAAUCCCAGCACCACA